rnacentral:rRNA from 1 species
GACAGAGGGUGCAAACGUUGUUCGGAAUUACUGGGCGUAAAGUGAGUGUAGGCGGUCUGCUAAGUCGGGUGUGAAAGCCCCGGGCUCAACCCGGGAAGUGCACUCGAAACUGGUAGGCUAGAGUAUCGGAGAGGUUGGUGGAAUUCUCGGUGUAGAGGUGAAAUUCGUAGAUAUCGAGAGGAACACCGGUGGCGAAGGCGGCCAACUGGACGAAUACUGACGCUGAGACUCGAAAGCGUGGGGAGCAAACAGG